UCCAAUGAUUGUAUCCACAUACAGU
rnacentral:misc_RNA from 1 species